UAAUUGAACAAGAGAUAAUUCUAUGUAUAAAAAUAAAAUGAAACUAUGAUGAAUUAGAUUUUUCAUUUCAAAAAAAUUAGAUUUAAAUGUAUACAACUCGAUUUUUCUCGAAAACGAGGCUUCGAUUUAAAAAAAAAUAUUCUGUUUCUUUAUUCUUGCACUUAAAACUAUCUUUUAUCAAAAAUUAAUCAAAUUCAUUUUAUUAUUUAAAGAAAAAAAAGAUUUAGAAUGAACGAAUUUUAUUUUAUAUGUUCGAUAUGUACAUAGAAUUCCAUUCGAGUUAUUCUAUGCAUUCUGUUACAUCUGUAUCCGCAUCAACGAUCCUUCUCACCAUGUUCAUAUAACACGAUCGAUCACACGAGUUCCAUCAAUGGAAACAUCCACGUUUGAUCCUCUCUAUAAUAUCUCUGUCCUUCAUCGAUUCUGAACGCCUUCCCACCAGAAUCGCUCAAAUGCAUGUUCGAGAAUCGGAUAGAUUAUAGUGUGGAAUCAGGGAAGUGGAACACAUUGCGCAGACGUGGUGCGAGUAGGCAAUAUCCUCGCACGUUGUUCCGCGUUUCAAAGUCUCUCGAAUCGGAUGCGGACUGAUCGUGGCUGUAAGACAAAGCGGCUGAAACCGUGUGUGCAAUGUCGCAUCCUUGAAGGGCUGUGUAAACAAGUGGCUGUAUGUGACGCGAUUCUCCGCAGAUCUGGCUGUAACGAGCUAGAUUCCGAUAUGCACAAAGACAACACCUUCUAUUCGUUCAUAACGAGCGAGGAAAACUUGAAGAGGAAUCCGCUUCCUUUAAUGCUUCUCGCUUCGCCAUCUUCACUACACACUAAAUUCCUUGGUUAUUCUGCUGAUGGUAGAUUCGAGAUAUUCUCAGGUUUCUCUUUUGCGUCAUAGCACGUAACUUGGCACGAAAAAUAUUCGUUAUUCGUAUUAUCUUCUAUUUAUGUUUCAGUAAUUUUUUUGGAAUUCAAGUAAGACACAAAUAUGAUUGUAUAUAAUACCAUAUAAAUAUAUAUCUUUUUAUUUGUUUUUAUUAAAGAAUGUUUAGUUUGCAUUACGAAAUAAAUAUUCCUUUCUUAUAAUUAAUUUAUGUUUAUAUUUAUAUACUUUAUUAAUUUUUCUGUAUAUUUUUGUUUAGUAAAUUAAGCAAUUUUAUACGAUAUUUUAAUUUUUAAUUAAUAUUAAGAUAGAUUUAAAUUAUAUAGAUUAGAUAAAUACAAAAAAUAGAAAAGCGGAAUCUGUUAUAAUUUAUUUGAAAUAAGAAAUAUAUUUUUGUUUGAAUGUAUUUUUAUUAAUAACUAAUCUGACAAAAAAUUAAUUUUAAUAAUCCAUAAGAUUAUACUAUAAGAUUUUUCACAAAAAAUACAUAAACUUAAUAAAUAUUUAGUAAUUAACUUAAGAUGCAUAUAUUCAAAUUUUAUUGUUUUAUUUAUUAAUACUUAUCAUAAUCAAUUAAUAAGAAAGUAUAUUGUAUACAUAUACAUAUACAAUAAAGAAUAUAUACAAUAAGGAAUCAUAAAAUAGAUUCAAAAAAAAAACAACAAUAGAUAUAUAAUAAGGAAUCAUAAAAUAGAUUAAAAAAAAAAACAAAUUACAAUUUGAAUAUAACAAUUCAAAUUAUAAUUUUUUUCUUUUACAUAAACUCAAAACUUUUCAAUUUUUACUAUCAUUUAAACAAAAGAGAGGAAAAAAUAAUCCAAGAUUAAGAAUCUCGAUGCUCAAUUUACAAGAAAUUUUAACGAUAAUAAUAUCAAUGGAGAAAUACACGUAAUCGUUAAUUUCUGUCAAAACGAAUAGGUAACAACGAAAAAAAUAAAGAAAAGAUAAGGAGAGAAAAAUCUUGUUAUAUCGGGAGAGAUAAAAAUGAUUGUGAUCGCUAGCUAGACGAAAGAAAAUGGUUCGCGUUUCCAGUUAUCAAGUCAUUCGUAGAUUUGGCUGAAUUUUCUUUCCAAUGCAAUUCAGCCUCUUUUCGAAUCUUUCUUUUCUUCUAGAACUUGGAAUCCCGCAUUACUCAGCCUGAGGAGACGCUUUGACAGUAAUGAUCGAGCAACCUAGGGGACUAGGCAGUAACAGUAAAAUAAACCACUCUCAAGAGGACACGUCUCAGACGCUGAGAACAUUGGAAACGCGGGGCUAAAGAGGCGGAAAGAACAUUAGAGAUUGUGAUGGACGAGGAAAGGAGUAAGGGAAAUCGGAUUCGAACCAGGAUAGAAUACGAAAGAGGUAUCCGUGAAAUCUUAGCACCCAAGGAUUUGGCGACGACGAUUUUCGAUUGAUAAGAUUCGGCAUGGAAGACCUCAAAUUCGUGGGAUCGGAUUUUCGAUUCCGCAAUACUUAUGUUUGUGACAGUGAAAGGUUCGAGGUUCUAUAAUUCAGAGUAUUCUAAACAUAAGGAUGUCGGCGUGAAUCAGUUCAAACUUGGAUAAUAUGAAUCGAAAUAGAACUCCAAAUUCUAAUAAUAAUAAGAACUAUUUCAAGAUAAUUUCCUUCUUAGUUAAAUAGAUCUUCUUGUUAUUUUUUAAAAUAUGUACUAUUUUGAAAUACAAAUAAUAUCUUAUUUCUUG